rnacentral:rRNA from 1 species
UGGGGAAUUUUGGACAAUGGACGCAAGUCUGAUCCAGCCAUGCCGCGUGCAGGAAGAAGCAUCUAUGGUGUGUAAACUGCUUUUGUACGGAGCGAAAAGGUCUGCCCUAAUACGGUGGGCUCAUGACGGUACCGUAAGAAUAAGCACCGGCUAACUACGUGCCAGCAGCCGCGGUAAUACGUAGGGUGCGAGCGUUAAUCGGAAUUACUGGGCGUAAAGCGUGCGCAGGCGGUUAUAUAAGACAGAUGUGAAAUCCCCGGGCUCAACCUGGGAACUGCAUUUGUGACUGUAUAGCUAGAGUACGGCAGAGGGGGAUGGAAUUCCGCGUGUAGCAGUGAAAUGCGUAGAUAUGCGGAGGAACACCGACGGCGAAGGCAAUCCCCUGGGCCUGUACUGACGCUCAUGCACGAAAGCGUGGGGAGCAAACA